ensembl:lncRNA
UAUAUAUAUAUAUAUAUAUAUAUAUAUAUAUAUAUAUAUAUAUAUAUAGUGUCACGGGUCUGUUCUGUGUCUCCCUGGGUGGCCACUAGAGGUCUCACUUCCCCUGAUUGUCACCCCCUUCUGAACUACAUUUCCCACUAGCCUUAUCUGUUCAUCACUGUUCAUUGUGUUCAGCUGUCACCACUUACCUUGUUUGCACCUGUCUUUAAAUACCCUGGUUGUUUCUGUCAUUGUUACGGAGUCCUUGUUGCCUGUCACCCUGCUUUUUCCUGGUUCCCUAGUGGAUGUUCGUGUUUCGUGUUUUGGACUGUUUAAUGUCACCCUGGUUUCGUGUUUCCUUGCUUUGUUUGUGUUUCUUGUUUUGGACGGAUUACCUGGAUGUUGACCUUUGCCUGGAUGUUUUCUGAUUUUGGAUUGCCUCAAUAAAACACUGCACUUGGAUCUACCUGUCUGUGUGCGUUUCGUGACAUAUAUAUACCGUGUGUACACAUUUUAUUAUUCUUUUUUUUUUUUUUAAGCAAUCCAAAUUUAUUGAGUUUAAAUAGGAAGCCAUGCAAUGAUCCUUGUUGACCAAUGUGUUUGUAUUUGUGCAGGAUGAUCUCGGAAUUUCAUAAGACUCAAUCUGCAUUAAUAAAUCUGUCUUUUUAGGUGUGUUGUAUUGGCCCUCAGUAUCACUUUAGGUGAAUCUUACAAUGAAUAAAUGUUAAUGUCUUACUAACGUUUAUCCUCCAUAGACUUUAAGAUGUCACUGCCUGUGAAGGAUUGAAUAUAAUUAACACAUUAUUAUUAUUAUUAUUAUUAUUAUUAUUAUUAUUAUUAUUAUUAUUAUCUCUACUCCUGAAGAGUCCAACAGUUCAGAGUGCGGCAGACUCUAAAGGCUGUUGAUCCGUUUGGAAAUUUUCUUCGCGGACUUCAGCUUAAUGUUGUUCCAAGGGUUCCAUACGCUGUUCCAGGUCCUCUCUCCCUGUGGCACAUAGAUGGUAACCAUAAACUGAUACGCUGGAGAAUUGUUAUAUAGAGGCUGUGUUUGGAUUUUCUGUCGAGAUUUUAAUAAACGUUGAUAUGGUUGGUCAGUACUGCUCGAUCAAGAACUGCCACAGCAGGUCACACGAUCGUUCAGGGAGGAAACUGAACAACGGAAUACGUUUUUUUCAGCUUUCCUUCCUGGAAAAAACAACAAGGGAAGCAGGUGCAGGAGCUGACAAAAAGACGCCGAAUCAAGUGGGUUGCCGCAAUCAGGAGAGAAAAAUUUUACUUUUCAAAACAUUCCUGCAUCAGCGAGAGUGUGUUCGCUGCAUUUUCAGUCUUGUUUUUAUGCUAACACUGUCAAACAAACUUGUAAAUGUAAAUUAUGUAUUUCAAUGAAAAAAAAAUGUAAACGUAAAUUAUUGAUUGUAAAUUAUGUAUUCAUUAAUUUCUAAUCAACAUAACCACAUGAAUUACAAAAAUAAAUCUGCCCACCACAAGCAAAAUAAAACUGGG